AAUAAGAUGCCUGAAAAAGGAUUAUUUUGAUAGAAUAAAUUAUGUACUUGUACUCUUAUUG
rnacentral:tRNA from 1 species